rnacentral:rRNA from 1 species
ACGGGGUGCAGCAGGCGCGAAAUCUUCACAAUGUGCGAAAGCACGAUGAGGGAAUCCCAAGUGCUAGCACGUAAGUGUUAGCUGUUUCUUAGUCUAAAAAACUCAGAGAGUAAGGGCUGGGUAAGACGGGUGCCAGCCGCCGCGGUAAUACCUGCAGCUCAAGUGGUGGCCGCUAUUAUUGGGCCUAAAACGUCCGUAGCCUGUUUAGUAAAUGCUUGGGUAAAUUGUGUAGCUUAACUAUACGAAUACCGGGUAGACUGCUAAACUUGGGACCGGGAGAGGCUAGAGGUACUCCUAGGGUAGAGGUGAAAUUCUGUAAUCCUAGGGGGACCACCAGUGGCGAAGGCGUCUAGCUAGAACGGGUCUGACGGUGAGGGACGAAGCCCUGGGGCGCGAACCGGAUUAGAUACCCGGGUAGUCCAGGGUGUAAACGCUGCUUGCUUGAUGUUAGUUGGGCUCCGAGCCCAACUAGUGUCGGAGAGAAGUUGUUAAGCAAGCUGCCUGGAAGUACGUCGCAAGAC